UCUAUUUAAAUCUUUUCACCUCUCGGUUUUAUAGCGUUCAGUGUCUCAGCCACCAGAAAUAGAAGUGGUGAUAGAAAAUUAUUUUCAGAGUAUGCUUAAGCUUUUUUAUUACUCACAGUUCUUCCCUGAGGGAAAUAGUUUCUGUAAAAACCUACCAAGUAGUUGAUAAUGCUGCAUUUAAUGAUAAACUUGUUUCACAGUGGCUUAAAAGUAUUAAAAUCUUUUUAGAGAAGGUUACUUUCAAUUUAUUUAUAGUUGUAUGGUUCUAAUCUCUUAAGUGAGUUCAUGACUGAUUUAAAGAAGGCAGAAAAUAUUGCUGGAUGUUUGAUACAACCUAUUCAAGCUUUUAAGCUU
rnacentral:lncRNA from 1 species